CUCAUUCCACACCUCUAUAUGUGAGCGUAUAUAUAUUAUGCAGCUCCCUUUCUAACAAAACAGAAAGCAAAUAAAUAGAGAAGAAUUCCCAAUCUCAAUUUUGCAUCCCCAAAUUAGGCCAAGAAAAUCGCAGAGGCAAUGGAGAACAACCCGCAGCAGAGCGCCACGCCGCCGUACCCGCCGGCCGUAGCUGCGCCGGGGUACCCAUCGCAGCCGCCGUACCAGCACCUAUUGCAGCAGCAGCAGCAGCAAUUGCAGAUGUUCUGGAAUUUCCAGCAGAACGAGAUCCAGAAUGUGAACGAUUUUAAGAACCACCAGCUGCCCCUGGCGCGGAUCAAGAAGAUCAUGAAGGCCGACGAGGAUGUGCGCAUGAUCUCCGCGGAGGCGCCGAUCCUCUUCGCCAAGGCGUGCGAGCUCUUCAUCCUCGAGCUCACGAUCCGCUCCUGGCUCCACGCCGAGGAGAACAAGCGCCGCACCCUCCAGAAGAACGACAUCGCCGCCGCUAUCACGCGCACCGACAUCUUCGACUUCCUCGUCGACAUUGUGCCCAGGGACGAGAUUAAGGACGAGGCGGCCUCUCUGGGGGGGAUUGUGGGCCCACCUUCUGGCCCUGGUGGGGUCCCCGUGGUGCCCUACUUCUACCCGCCCAUGGGGCAGACGAUGAUUGGGCGACCCGCCGUGGUGCCUGGUGUGGAUCCGGGGGUUUACGUGCAGCCUCCGCCGCCGCCGCCGUCCCAGGCCUGGCAGUCGGUGUGGCAGACGGGGGCUGAUGAUGGCUCCUACGGGAGUGGUGGUGGUGCCAGCAGCGGUCAGGGGAACCUUGACGGUUGAGGGUAACUCAAUUAUGGCUUCUGGUCAACCUUCUCCCAUUUGGUGCCUGUGUUUCUCGUGUUCCUGUUGAAAGUAAUGGUGAAGUGACAAGGGAGAGUAGCGCGGUGGUCACUUGCUUGGAGCGAAGGAAUUUAGGUUAUCAUAUCUAUAAAUGGGGCUUGAAUUCUUGCAUAAAAGAAGAUGUGGUUGUAGGAAUUGUAUAAAACUUGAUCUUGUGUAGGGACUGAGACCUCCUAUCAAUGCAAUCAAAAAACAUGUGCAGAAUGUUUCCAGUGCAAUGAUACACUGAACUGAUAAUUAUUUUUUGGUCGAAAUUCGCCACUUUGCUCUA